GUGGGUGCUAACGUCCAUCGUGGAGAGGGAAACAACCCAGACCGCCAGCUAAGGUCCCAAAGUCUAUAUUAAGUGGGAAACGAAGUGGGAAGGCUUAGACAGCUAGGAUGUUGGCUUAGAAGCAGCCACCAUUUAAAGAAAGCGUAAUAGCUCACUAGUCGAGUCGGCCUGCGCGGAAGAUGUAACGGGGCUAAAAUAUAGCACCGAAGCUGCGGCAUCAGGCGUAUCACAAAUACGCCUUCGAUUAACAACAUCGAAUGAAGUGAAACGGAAUAAGAUGUUGGUCAAGCACCCAACACGUUGAGUUGGCAUAAAGUGCGGAUAGAAAUCAGAGGAAUAUUUGUGAUACGCCUGUUGGGUAGGGGAGCGUUGUGUAAGUCGAUGAAGGUGUAUUGAGAAGUAUGCUGGAGAUAUCACAAGUGCGAAUGCUGACAUAAGUAACGAUAAAACGAGUGAAAAACUCGUUCGCCGGAAGACCAAGGGUUCCUGUCCAACGUUAAUCGGGGCAGGGUGAGUCGGCCCCUAAGGCGAGGCUGAAAAGCGUAGUCGAUGGGAAACGGGUUAAUAUUCCCGUACUUGGUAAAGCUGCGAUGUGGGGACGGAGAAGGUUAGGUUAGCAGACUGUUGGAUGUCUGUUUAAGUUGGUAGGUGGGAAGUUUAGGCAAAUCCGGACUUCCAUAACACUGAGAGAUGAUGACGAGUUUCUACGGAAAUGAAGUAACUGAUACCACGCUUCCAGGAAAAGCCACUAAGCGAAAGGCUUUACUAAACCGUACUGAAAACCGACACAGGUGGUCAGGUAGAGAAUACUCAGGCGCUUGAGAGAACUCGGGUGAAGGAACUAGGCAAAAUAGCACCGUAACUUCGGGAGAAGGUGCGCUGGCGUAGGUUGUAAGAGUAUACCUCCGAAGGCUGAACCAGUCGAAGAUACCAGCUGGCUGCAACUGUUUAUUAAAAACACAGCACUCUGCAAACACGAAAGUGGACGUAUAGGGUGUGAUGCCUGCCCGGUGCUGGAAGGUUAAUUGAUGGUGUUAUCGAAAGAGAAGCUCCUGAUCGAAGCCCCAGUAAACGGCGGCCGUAACUAUAACGGUCCUAAGGUAGCGAAAUUCCUUGUCGGGUAAGUUCCGACCUGCACGAAUGGCAUAAUGAUGGCCAGGCUGUCUCCACCCGAGACUCAGUGAAAUUGAAAUCGCCGUGAAGAUGCGGUGUACCCGCGGCUAGACGGAAAGACCCCGUGAACCUUUACUAUAGCUUGACACUGAACAUUGAAUUUUGAUGUGUAGGAUAGGUGGGAGACUAAGAAGCAGGCACGCCAGUGCUUGUGGAGUCGACCUUGAAAUACCACCCUUUAACGUUUGAUGUUCUAACGAAGAUUACGAAACGUGGUCUCGGACAGUGUCUGGUGGGUAGUUUGACUGGGGCGGUCUCCUCCCAAAGCGUAACGGAGGAGCACGAAGGUUUGCUAAUCACGGUCGGACAUCGUGAGGUUAGUGCAAUGGUAUAAGCAAGCUUAACUGCGAGACAGACAAGUCGAGCAGGUGCGAAAGCAGGUCAUAGUGAUCCGGUGGUUCUGAAUGGAAGGGCCAUCGCUCAACGGAUAAAAGGUACUCCGGGGAUAACAGGCUGAUACCGCCCAAGAGUUCAUAUCGACGGCGGUGUUUGGCACCUCGAUGUCGGCUCAUCACAUCCUGGGGCUGAAGUAGGUCCCAAGGGUAUGGCUGUUCGCCAUUUAAAGUGGUACGCGAGCUGGGUUUAGAACGUCGUGAGACAGUUCGGUCCCUAUCUGCCGUGGGCGUUGGAGAAUUGAGAGGGGCUGCUCCUAGUACGAGAGGACCGGAGUGGACGCAUCACUGGUGUACCAGUUGUCUCGCCAGAGGCAUUGCUGGGUAGCUAAAUGCGGAAGAGAUAAGUGCUGAAAGCAUCUAAGCACGAAACUCGCCUUAAGAUGAGUUCUCCCUAGCUAUAAGCUAGUAAGGGUUGUUGAAGACUACGACGUAGAUAGGUCUGGUGUGUAAGCGGUGUGAGCCGUUGAGCUAACAGAUACUAAUUGCCCGAGAGGCUUAACUAU
rnacentral:rRNA from 1 species